rnacentral:rRNA from 1 species
AAGGGCGACUGAAGGGUCAACAGCUCACCAUGUGAAUCUGCAGUGCCGAAUUGUGGUCUGGAGACUAUUGCAAUCAGGUCAAGUUCCUUGGAACGGGGCAGCUCAGAGGGUGACACUCCCAUAUGCCUGGCCUUGUCAUGGAGUCGAGUUGUUUGGGAUUGCAGCUCCAAGUGGGUGGUAAAUUCCAUCGAAAGCUAAAUACUGGUGGAAAACCGAUAGCGAACAAGUACCGUGAGGGAAAGAUGCAAAGAACUUUGAAAAGAGAGUUAAAGAGUACCUGAAAUUGCUGAAAAAGAAGCAAAGGAAACCAGUGUUGUUGUGCCAUAUUUCCCUGCUCGCUUGCGGUUGGGGCGCUGUGGCCAGCGUAGUCUUCUUUGAU